UACGUAGGGUGCGAGCGUUAAUCGGAAUUACUGGGCGUAAAGUGUGCGCAGGCGGCGUUGCAAGUCGAGUGUGAAAUCCCCGAGCUUAACUUGGGAAUUGCGCUCGAGACUACGAUGCUCGAGUGUGGCAGAGGAAGGUGGAAUUCCACGUGUAGCGGUGAAAUGCGUAGAGAUGUGGAGGAGCACCGAUGGCGAAGGCAGCCUUCUGGGCCAACACUGACGCUCAUGCACGAAAGCGUGGGGAGCGAACAGG
rnacentral:rRNA from 1 species